GACGAACGCUGGCGGCGUGCUUAACACAUGCAAGUCGAGCGGGAAACUUCGGUUUCCAGCGGCGGACGGGUGAGUAACACGUGGGCAACCUGCCUCACAAUGAGGGAUAGCCCUCCGAAAGGAGGAUUAAUACCUCAUAACACAAGAGAAACGCAUGUUUCUCUUGCCAAAGAAUUUCGUUGUGAGAUGGGCCCGCGGCGCAUUAGCUUGUUGGUGAGGUAACGGCUCACCAAGGCUUCGAUGCGUAGCCGACCUGAGAGGGUGAUCGGCCACAUUGGAACUGAGACACGGUCCAGACUCCUACGGGAGGCAGCAGUGGGGAAUAUUGCACAAUGGAGGAAACUUUGAUGCAGCAACGCCGCGUGAGUGAUGAAGGUCUUCGGAUUGUAAAGCUCUGUCUUCUGGGACGAUAAUGACGGUACCAGAGGAGGAAGCCACGGCUAACUACGUGCCAGCAGCCGCCGUAAGAC
rnacentral:rRNA from 1 species